rnacentral:rRNA from 1 species
CCCUUAGAUGUUCGGGGCCGCACGCGCGCUACACUGAAGGAAUCAGCACGUCUUUCUCCUUGUCCGAAAGGACUGGGUAACCCGCUGAACCUCCUUCGUGCUAGGGAUUGGGGCUUGUAAUUCUUCCCCAUGAAUGAGGAAUUCCCAGUAAGCGCGAGUCAUAAGCUCGCGUUGAUUACGUCCCUGCCCUUUGUACACACCGCCCGUCGCUACUACCGAUUGGAUGGUUUAGUGAGAUCCUCGGAUUGGUCCCGGAGCGGCCUCUGGUCGUGCCGGAGUGCCGAAAAGAAUGUCGAACUUGAUCAUCUAGAGGAAGUAAAAGUCGUAACA